rnacentral:misc_RNA from 1 species
UCCGGCUUUUCGCCGACAGUCUCUAUAGGGUGCCCAGCUUGACCUGUUGGCAACUAUAGACAAGGGUUGCGCUCGUUGCGGGACUUAACCCAACAUCUCACGACACGAGCUGACGACAGCCAUGCAGCACCUCUCCACCAGUCCCCGAAGGGAAAUACCUAUCUCUAGGUACGUCCAGUGAAGUUCAAACCCCGGUAAGGUUCUUCGCGUUGCGUCGAAUUAAACCACAUACUCCACCGCUUGUGCGGGCCCCCGUCAAUUCCUUUGAGUUUCAGCCUUGCGGCCGUACUCCCCAGGCGGGGUACUUAACGAGUUAUCGCCGGCACGAAGGGUCUUAACACCCCUCACACCAAGUACCCAUCGUUUACAGCCAGGACUAC